rnacentral:rRNA from 1 species
UAGGGAAUCUUCGGCAAUGGGGGGAACCCUGACCGAGCAACGCCGCGUGAGUGAAGAAGGUUUUCGGAUCGUAAAGCUCUGUUGUUAAGGAAGAACGAGUGUGAGAAUGGAAAGUUCAUGCUGUGACGGUACUUAACCAGAAAGGGACGGCUAACUACGUGCCAGCAGCCGCGGUAAUACGUAGGUCCCGAGCGUUGUCCGGAUUUAUUGGGUGUAAAGCGAGCGCAGGCGGUUAGAAAAGUCUGAAGUGAAAGGCAGUGGCUCAACCAUUGUAGGCUUUGGAAACUGUUUAACUUGAGUGCAGAAGGGGAGAGUGGAAUUCCAUGUGUAGCGGUGAAAUGCGUAGAUAUAUGGAGGAACACCGGUGGCGAAAGCGGCUCUCUGGUCUGUAACUGACGCUGAGGCUCGAAAGCGUGGGGAGCGAACAGG